GGUUCCGUGGUGUAAACGGUUGUCACCCUGGACUUUGAAUCCAGCAAUCCGAGUUCAAAUCUCGGCGGAACCU
rnacentral:tRNA from 1 species